rnacentral:rRNA from 1 species
AGAACGAACGCUGGCGGCAGGCUUAACACAUGCAAGUCGAACGGUUGUAGCAAUACAGCAGUGGCAGACGGGUGAGUAACACGUGGGAACCUUCCUAGGGGUACGGAACAACUCAGGGAAACUUGAGCUAAUACCGUAUACGUCCGUGAGGAGAAAGAUUUAUCGCCCCUAGACGGGCCCGCGUAGGAUUAGGUAGUUGGUGAGGUAACGGCUCACCAAGCCUACGAUCCUUAGCUGAUCUGAGAGGAUGAUCAGCCACACUGGGACUGAGACACGGCCCAGACUCCUACGGGAGGCAGCAGUGGGGAAUCUUGGACAAUGGGCGCAAGCCUGAUCCAGCCAUCGCCGCGUGAGUGAAGAAGGCCUUCGGGUUGAAACGUCUUACUUUUACCGAGGGACGUAAUAAUGGACCGGUACGUGGAGAAUAACGCCCCGG